GAGACCCGGGGGGGAUGGGCCCCAGGAGUCCACACCUUCAACCUCUUCCCUGGGGGAUCCUUUCCUUUCUCUUAUUUUCUUCUUAUUACUUUUGCACAGUCAGGCUUAGGAGUGUCUGCUCCUCGGAGGAAAGCAGGGAAGAGGAAGCCGGCUCAGUACCUGCCGUCUGGCCGCCCGAGGCGGGGGAGGUGGCGCAGGCUGGGGCAGCCCGGCCGAGCGAAGGCUCCUUCCGGGGCCGGGCCGGGAAGGGGGGCUGGGAGGUUUCUUGGAGGAGGUAGAGCUGCAUUCCUCUCAUGCCUUAAGCAUGAAUUUCUAAGGGUAGAAUUUCAAGGGUGGUAAAUGGAGAGGGCUGGAGGAGCUUUAUUUGUCUAUUUAUUUAUUUCCCCUAAUCCGCUUGCAGGGCUAAUCAGCUCCCCCCCGGGGCAGCCUCCGACGGGCUUCUCUCACUGCUCAGCCUGGGCUGGAGGGACCCGUGAGGGACGCACACCGUCUCGCAGGGAAGCUGAGCAGAGGAGAGGGAAGCUGUGGGGGUGGCUUUCAGUCCCGGGAGGGCUCCUGGAGUUCCUGCUCCAAGUCCGGGGAUCUGACCUGGCUGUCCCUAGGCCUGUGGAGACCCCAGGAAUGGGAAUGAAAGAGACUGGGGUCCAAAUGGCCCCCAGGCCUGACCAAUGCAUCCCUGGGGGCCAGAUACAAGGGGAGCUGCCACAGCUCAGGAGAGCGCAGGACCAUCCCUGGAACAGGCUCCAGCUUCUCCAUAGCAGCUCUGAGAGGAAUAUGUGGCCUCUUAGGCCGAUCAGCCUGAGCCAAGGCACCUUCCUUAGGUGUGGAGUGUCCUAGUCAACACAUGCUCGUGCAUUCAUUCAUUCAUUCAUUCAUUGAACACCUGCUAUGUGCCAGGCACUGGGCUGGGCUCUGCAGGUUAGCUGUGAACAAAGCAGCUGAGGCCCUGCUGUCGUGGAGUUUACAUACAGGAGGGGGAUGGACAACAAAACAUAACAAAUUAAUGUGUAACCUGGUUAUCAUCCUAUAACCCUGUUAGACGUCACAUGUAAUGGUGUCAGGCGAGAAUAUGAAGCGAGGAGGCCACGGAGGUUUGGGGCCAAGGAGUGACAAGACCUGGCUUCGGUUUACAAAGAUCAUUCUGGCUGCUGCCUAGAGAAUGGAAGGCUGGCAGGGAGAGCCUACCGGGAGGCCACUGCAGCAGGCCAGGGAGAGAGAGGUGAGAACGGGGGACUAGCUUUGGAGACAGCGAGAAGCAAUGGAUUUGAAAGCUGCUGAUGUGUUUUGAAAAUGGAACUGACGGGAUUUGACACCAGAAUGGAGGUGGGUGUGAGGAAUGAGGAGGCAAGGGGGAUUCCGAGAUUUGCCAACUGAGCAUCUAAGUCGAUGGAGCUGGUGAGGGGAAGUUACGAAUUCUGUUUGGGACAUGUGAAGUUUGAGGUGACCAUUAGGCACCCUGGUGGAGAUGUUGCUGUGCACUUGCAGACGUGAGGCCGUGACUCUGGACUCGGGGUGGGGGUCGGGAGCUGGAGACACGCAUUUCCUUGGCUUGGAGAUGGAACUGACAGCUGUGGGAGAGAUGCGACCCCUGGAGAAACUUAAAAUGGAGGGCAAGGGGAGUGAGCACCGAGCCCUGGGCCUCACCAUGGAGAGGUCUGGAAGAGGAGGCUGAACCAGCCGGGAGACUCCGAAAGAGGGGCCAGCGAGGGUCCCACCAGGGAUGCUCACACAGUGCUGCUGACUGAGGCUGGAGGGGAGGGAUUCCUCUCCCCGGCUCCAAGGGUCACCGUCAGAGCCUGAACUUUGGCUUUAGGCAGAACUUGGUUUACACCUUGAUGUCAACUACAUGCAAGUUACUAAACCUGCCUGUGCUCGAAGUCACCUACAGCCACCACCAUCCAGUCCUCUCCCCUUCCCGGGACACGGGAGUC
ensembl:lncRNA